GAUCUGAUUAAAUUCCCAGUGGAUUAUUCUGAAUUUUAGAGAUAAUGACUCGACUAGGGCAAUUGUGACAAAUGAAUUGUUCCAGUAUGAGGGGAGAGGGGGUAAAGAGGGUGAGAGAAAAUAAAUGGGUCUAGUCUGGAUUUAGGUGCAGAGCAAACCUGUUUUCCCCUAGAUCCCUAUUCCAGGCUCCAGGUUCUGGAGCCCCAGCCAUGGGCAGCCUGGGGAGCUUUACAGCAUCAUUGUUGGAGGACAAGCAUGGAAGAGCAACACUCACAAUUUAGUCUUACUGGCAUUUAGGUGUCAUGGAUUAGGGCAUUUCAUCCACACAACAACUUAUGAAGGAGGCAACUAUCUCCAUUGAAUUUCAUACGAGGAGAUUGCGUCUCAGAGAGGUAGAAUGACUUGUCCACUAUGACACAGACCAUCUGUGGUAAAGCCAGAGUUGGCCCCUGAGUCUGUUUCAGUCCAUAUUCUGAAAUUCUUAGCCCUUGGCCAUGUCUAUACCUCCCUGACCUUACAAGUUCUGGCAGCCUCUCAGAGCACACAAAAACCUGGACUAGUCCAAAAAGGCUGACCACCAGUUGGGUGGAAACUGUUUGUGGCAGAGCCAUGGUCACCGACUCCCCUGACUCCAGUCUGGAGAACUCAGUGGAGUGGGCUCCAGCAGGCCCGGGAACCACCUGGGGCUAGGCCAUCUCUCUCUACCAGUGAUUGCUUCCAGAUCCAUCGUGCAGUUCCCCACUGCACCUCGUCCUGUGAGACUUGGGGCAAGUCCUGAAACCACAUUGCUCCAGCUUGAGAAACCUUAAUGGCUUGUUAGUCCAACCUUCCCAUUGCACAGAUGGAGAAGCAGAGACUCUAAGAAGGUACCCUGCCAAAGAUAAUUCCCAUGGCUGGGAUCGGGGAGGGCAUAACCCAGGCCUCUUCAUCCUCGCUUCAACUUUGGUGCUAACAUUUUUAAAAAGAGGCAUUAUAGCCCAAAAUAAUGGGCCAGCAACUGAGCACCCCUUGAAUUCCUCUGAUCACCGA
rnacentral:lncRNA from 10 species